AUGGCCAGGGUGGUUUGGAGGACGGUGGGUUGUGUUCUGGGUACGGACACUUGUCCGAACAAUAUAUGGCAAUAUUUCUCAUGGUGCUAUGUUUUCCUUCCUGAUGGGGAAAAGUUUUACACGUUUGUGCUAGCAGUCAUAUGUUGGGCUAUAUGGACUUGUUGCAACCAAGCUACCUUUGAGCAGAAAAAAUUAAAGACACCUUUUGCUGUGAUUUAUUCUGCAUGUGGCUUUAUCUCUUAUUGGGCAGGGAUGAUGACUAGAGCGGAUCGGGAGGUGAUGGAGAGAGGAUCCAAAAUGCUAAGGACCAGCGCAUCAAACAUGAUGAGGAUCUGCGCGGCAUCAGGCGAAAUGGCGCAGGACUGA
rnacentral:rRNA from 1 species